AAAGCCUCGGGUGAAGGUCCUUCAUUGGGCUCGAUCCCUUGGCUGCUAUGGAUAAUCGCGGUAAUUCUGAGACUAAUACAAGAACGUAAAACCCGAUCGACUGGGCAACUGGGAGAUCGGGGGUUGUGCGAGCUGAACGCCACAAAAUAGGGAUGAAUACGCGCACGAUCGUACCGCCAUAACAAACGAUCUCGGGUGGGUCCUAGUAUCGAAAGAAAACGGGCUAUCCUUGUUCGGGCGGUACCAGUACUGUGCUUCUGACCUAUCAACUAGACUGCGAUUCCAUGGACUGCAAUGGUCACAACGGGUACAGAGGAUAAGGGUUCGAUCCUGGAGAGUGGGCCUGAGAGAUU
rnacentral:rRNA from 1 species